rnacentral:rRNA from 1 species
AAGCCCGAACCACGUUAAUUCAAAUUGGCCCGUACCCUAAACCGACACAGGUGGGAAGGUAGAGUAUACCCAGGGGCGCGAGAUAACUCUCUCUAAGGAACUCGGCAAAAUGGCCCCGUAACUUCGGGAGAAGGGGUGCCACCGAGAGGUGGUCGCAGUGAAGAGUCCCAGGCGACUGUUUACCAAAAACACAGGUCUCCGCUAAGUCGCAAGACGAUGUAUGGGGGCUGACGCCUGCCCAGUGCCGGAAGGUUAAGGAAGUUGGUCAGGGAGCAAUCCUGAAGCUAGCGACUGAAGCCCCGGUGAACGGCGGCCGUAACUAUAACGGUCCUAAGGUAGCGAAAUUCCUUGUCGGGUAAGUUCCGACCCGCACGAAAGGCGUAACGAUCUGGGAGCUGUCUCGGAGAGAGGCUCGGCGAAAUAGGAAUGUCUGUGAAGAUACGGACUACCUGCACCCUGACAGAAAGACCCUAUGAAGCUUUACUGUAGCUUGGUAUUGGGUUCGGGCUUUGAUUGCGCAGGAUAGGUGGGAGACUAAGAGAUAGCUCUUGUGGGAGUUAUGGAGUCACUGGUGAGAUACCACUCUAUCAAGGCUAGAAUUCUAACUUUGACCCGUUAUCCGGGCAGAGAACAGUAUCAGGUGGGCAGUUUGACUGGGGCGGUCGCCUCCUAAAUGGUAACGGAGGCGCGCAAAGGUUCCCUCAGGCUGGUUGGAAAUCAGCCAUUGAGUGUAAAGGCAUAAGGGAGCUUGACUGCGGGACUGACAAGUCGAGCAGGUACGAAAGUAGGCCUUAGUGAUCCGACGGUUCCGCGUGGAAGGGCCGUCGCUCAACGGAUAAAAGUUACUCUAAGGAUAACAGGCUGAUCUCCCCCAAGAGUUCACAUCGACGGGGAGGUUUGGCACCUCGAUGUCGGCUCAUCGCAACCUGGGGCUGUAGUCGGUCCCAAGGGUUGGGCUGUUCGCCCAUUAAAGCGGUACGUGAGCUGGGUUCAGAACGUCGUGAGACAGUUCGGUCCAUAUCCGGUGCAGGCGUAGGAACAUUGAGAGGAGUCUUCCUUAGUACGAGAGGACCGGGAAGAACGCACCGCUGGUGUACCUGUUAUCGUGCCAACGGUAAACGCAGGGUAGCCAAGUGCGGAGCGGAUAACCGCUGAAAGCAUCUAAGUGGGAAGCCCACCUCAAGAUGAGUGUUCCCAUGGCGUAAGCCAGUAAGGUCACGGGUAGACCACCCGUUAAUAGGCGCUAGAUGGAAGUCCAGCAAUGGAUGUAGUCGAGGCGUACUAACAGACCGAGGGCUUGACC